GUAAAGUAUAUAUAUAUAUAUAUAUAUAUAUAUAUAUAUAUAUAUAUAUAUAUAUAUAUAUAUAUAUAUAUAUAUUAUAUAUAUGAAAUAGUAGUUUAAAUACUUGUAGUUAUUCUUUCAUCACUCUGUACCUUCUUAAAUCUGUUUUCAACAGAUCCGCACCACACAUUUCAGCCUUGCUCUGUACAGACUCUGUAAAGUUUUGCAUUUUGACUUUUCAUUUUCCACUGUUCCUGGAGAUCUACCUUCCUGAAGACUUUAGCUCCAAGCAUAAUCGUGCCCACCUGACCAUUUAAGGCAUCAUAAAUGAUCACUUUACUGAAAUAAUCAGACAAUAAUGGGUGCCCCAGCUGGUCCAGGGGCUGUAAACAACCACUUAUACAACGAUAUAACCUUGUAUUGAUUAAACUGAUCAAAUUAUUCAUCCUGCUUAAUACUUUUUGUGUUUUCUUCCCUCACAGACAGAUCAGUGCUUACAGACAGAUCAGUGCUUACAAACAGAUCAGUGCUUACAGACAGAUCAGUGCACACAGACAGAUCAGUGCUUACAGACAGAUCAGUGCACACAGACGGAUCAGUGCACACAGACGGAUCAGUGCACAGAGACGGAUCAGUGCACACAGACAGAUCAGUGCACACAGACGGAUCAGUGCACACAGACAGAUCA
ensembl:lncRNA